rnacentral:rRNA from 1 species
CCUACGGGGGGCUGCAGUGGGGAAUAUUGGACAAUGGGCGAAAGCCUGAUCCAGCAAUGCCGCGUGAGUGAUGAAGGCCUUAGGGUUGUAAAGCUCUUUUACCAGGGAUGAUAAUGACAGUACCUGGAGAAUAAGCUCCGGCUAACUCCGUGCCAGCAGCCGCGGUAAUACGGAGGGAGCUAGCGUUGUUCGGAAUUACUGGGCGUAAAGCGUGCGUAGGCGGUGACUCAAGUCAGAGGUGAAAGCCUGGAGCUCAACUCCAGAACUGCCUUUGAAACUAGGUCGCUAGAAUCUGGGAGAGGUGAGUGGAAUUCCGAGUGUAGAGGUGAAAUUCGUAGAUAUUCGGAAGAACACCAGUGGCGAAGGCGGCUCACUGGACCAGAAUUGACGCUGAGGCACGAAAGCGUGGGGAGCAAACAGGAUUAGAUACCCCUGUAGUC